UACGAAGGGUGCAAGCGUUAAUCGGAAUUACUGGGCGUAAAGCGCGGGUAGGUGGUUCAGUAAGUUGGAAGUGAAAUCCCCGGGCUCAACCUGGGAACUGCUUUCAAAACUGCUGAGCUAGAGUACGGUAGAGGGUGGUGGAAUUUCCUGUGUAGCGGUGAAAUGCGUAGAUAUAGGAAGGAACACCAGUGGCGAAGGCGACCACCUGGACUGAUACUGACACUGAGGUGCGAAAGCGUGGGGAGCAAACAGG
rnacentral:rRNA from 1 species